GGAUGUGAGGAUGACCUGGCUGCGACAUCUGUCACCCCACCGAUCGCCAGGGUUGAUUUGGCUGAUCUGGCUGGCUAGAUAGGUGUCCCCCUCCUCCCUCACCACUCUAUGUGUGUCCCUCCUGACGCUGCAUGCUUGGUUGAAGAGGACGACCUUCCCUGAUGGAGCAGGACCAUUCUUCGGUCAAGGGUAUACAAGUAGCUGUGCUCCCCUCCAAGAACCUCUAAACAAGCUCUCAAGAUAGACAUGUCCUUAAAGUUGUCAUCAUUAAAUAUAAAAGUUUUAUUCUACCAAGGUUUGCUGAUGGGCAAAAAGUUCUAUGAU
rfam:Canis lupus familiaris chromosome 31, whole genome shotgun sequence.